GCCGAGCUGGUGAAAAUGGUAUACACGCAGGUUUUAGAUGCCUGUGUCAUAAGAAUGACUUGGGGGUUCAAAUCCCUCGCUCGGUA
rnacentral:tRNA from 6 species